ACAUAACGAAAUCUGCUCCAUAGGAUCUGGCGUCUUAUUUGGCCACGUCGCUGGCCGUUCUCUUCCGUUGGAUGUUGAUCGGACCAUCCACAGUUGCAGGCAAAUUACCUAGCGUUUCUAGACACUUCGUCCCGACUCCUGAGUGUGCGCCGCUGCCGCCGUUGUCCACCUACCCCCUCGCCGGCGCACGAGGAGCUCUCCCAAUCCUCCUCACAAGGGCCAUGGACCCAAUCUCGUCUCGCUUUCAUCACUCUCUCCAGCUAGUGCCAUCCGCACUGGAAUCUUUUUCUCCCAUCUAGCUGACGCUCCUCCCCACUCAUCCACAAGCACCUUCCAUUCCCCCAGCAGUUGCCGGUCGAUAUUCUCCUGCCAGCUGCAAGGUCCGUCGUCCUCCACACCUGGCUAGUGAUUCGUGAAGGAGCCAUGGUGUCUGCGCCAGCGCAGCUCAAGGCUCUCGCGUCGAAGAAGGUGAGCCGCACCAGCCUGCACUGCAAAUAGCGGCCCUUGGGGCCUCUGUCACCACAGAGCACGACUGGUAGUGCCCCUACAGCCAGAGCGGUGGUCAACAUGUACGACGCCCAACAACUGCUUGAGGAAAUGCCCCAAAGGCUCUAAGGUUGUCUCGGGUGUGAUGAGGAUUUUAAAUCAAAUUAGCUCUCCACUUGUCAGUAUCUAGCAAACUUUCUCAUGUGCAUAAGCAGAUGCUAGGUUAAAAUUUCAUGUGUAAGAGCCAAUUUUGUACUUGAAAGUGAGUUUCUUAUACUGAUGUUUUUUGCCCAUGGCUAGAAGUGCCUUGAUUGGUUCAAAGCAACUGGUUAGUCAGUGCCAUAUAUCAGCUUGAUUGCCGAUCCGCUUGGCUGCAGCAUCUAAUGUGGCACCCAUUUGGUUGUGUCGUCAUGAAAUUAUCUGCAGGCUUUUGAACAGGCUGUGGCCCAUGCAUAGAUUGUUGUUCCAUUUCUUUGUCUGUGAGUUAAGGGAUUGUAGUUGACAAGUGGUUUGCAGUUUCCACAAAUCAUGAGCUCAACCACUUCACGAUGAAUUAUUAGCUUUUUUAUCAACCAAUUGUGCACCAUGGAGAAUACCAAAUCGGUUAGUGCACUGCUUUCUUAGGAUUUGACUAACACAUGUUGAGUAUUUACAAGCAGCCAAAUAUUGCCAAAGCCACCAAGGUCAAGCUUGAGUUAUUGCCACAUCAAAUUGGAGGUAUUGGGCUUACUGUCAUAUAGCAUUGCCAAACUUGAACUUGGGAAAUCAGCCUUUUCUGGUCGGAGUAGCCUUUUGAAUAUUGCAUCUAUUAUUUCUAUGCAUAAGGUAUUAAUUGUCAACCUUAGUUUUUGGCACAGGAAAUGAUCAUUAUCAGCUUGAGAACCUCAAUGCCCACAAUGAAGGUUUUGGUUCUUGACUCCAGAUGACCUAAUUUGAACUCAGUUGUCGGCUUCCCUGCUCGCAAAAGCUGUGUAUAAUUAUGAGUCAUUAUCUUUGCUUGCUUUUAGACUUUAAACAUAAUCUAGCUAAAUUGUUUACAACUUGUUUCUUCUUUCCUUAUACAGCCUCACCAUGGAAGAAUAUGGAAAACAGUCGAGAACUAGAACAGCAAGUGGCAUGAUGUUGACUUCGCCAAUAAAACUUCAAUGAAACAAUAUAGCUUCUUGAGAUGCUCAAUUGAAAUUCCAAAGUGUGUAUCAGAGUACUUUUGCAGGAAAUAGGCAUACUCGUGACUUCUGGAUGGUUGAUCCCCUAUAACAGCUUCUUAUGUAAAUGCUGCUUGAGGAUUUCAUGCCCUUCCAUAAGAUUGUCAUGGCAUUUGCUCAAA